rnacentral:misc_RNA from 1 species
AUCAAAGCUCACAAGCUCUACGCCUAUGGCACGAGCACGAUCAGCUGGGGCAUACGGGUCAUGUGCAAUUACAUGCAUGCCAAGUCCCUUUGCACGACGAGCAACUUCAGAUCCAACUUUGCCGAAUCCCAUUACAGCAAGUGUUUUCCCCACAAGUGAUACACCAACAUAUUUGUUGCGUUGCCACUUCCCAGCUUUAACCGACGCAUCGGCUUGGGCAACAUUUCUAGCCAUUGCAGUCAAAAGCGCAAUUCCGUGCUCAGCGGCAGCUACCGUGUUAGCAGUGGGAGCAUUCACCACUAAGCAACCAUGCUCAGUGGCGGCCGCCAGAUCCACAUUGUCAAUGCCAACACCAGCUCUCCCAACAACCUUCAACCUCCCUCCAGAAGAUUCAAACACCUCGCGGCUGACCUUAGUCCCACUCCGCACAAUAAGCGCAUCACAGAGCGAGAUCUUGGUACAAAGCUCCUCAGGACUCAGAUUAUAAGAACAAUCAACAUUAGCAAAUUCCUUAAGGAGAUCAAGACCAGCUUCCCCCAGUUUCUCCGCAACAAGAACCGUCGGCUUCGCAUUUAAAGAUGCAGAAACCAACACCACAAACCGCGG